GGAUGUUGGGCUGAAUUGACUCUGUCAUCUCCCAACUCUUGGUUACCACAAUAAUUCAGUUUACCUGUCUGGGUAGGCCGAUACCCCUUCUUCAUUGCUCCAUAUGCAACUCUCCAAAAAUGGAAGAGAAAGGCCUUCUCCAAGGGAAGAUCUUGGUCAAGGAUAUAUGAGUAGCUGUAUUCUCCUGCUCGAACCUCCAGACAAGUUUUCAGGGUCCAUUGUAGGAGAGUGUAGGGUAGUCAGGGUUCGAAAACUACAUCCAUCCAAGUGAGGUGCUGCAUGUGGUGGUGGUUAGCCUUGUUU
rnacentral:snRNA from 1 species